rnacentral:rRNA from 1 species
GAUGAACGCUGGCGGCGUGCCUAACACAUGCAAGUCGAGCGAUUUACUUCGGUAAAGAGCGGCGGACGGGUGAGUAACGCGUGGGUAACCUGCCCUGUACACACGGAUAACAUACCGAAAGGUAUGCUAAUACGAGAUAAAAUACUUUUAUCGCAUGGUAGAAGUAUCAAAGCUUUUGCGGUACAGGAUGGACCCGCGUCUGAUUAGCUAGUUGGUAAGGUAACGGCUUACCAAGGCGACGAUCAGUAGCCGACCUGAGAGGGUGAUCGGCCACAUUGGAACUGAGACACGGUCCAAACUCCUACGGGAGGCAGCAGUGGGGAAUAUUGCACAAUGGGCGAAAGCCUGAUGCAGCAACGCCGCGUGAGCGAUGAAGGCCUUCGGGUCGUAAAGCUCUGUCCUCAAGGAAGAUAAUGACGGUACUUGAGGAGGAAGCCCCGGCUAACUACGUGCCAGCAGCCGCGGUAAUACGUAGGGGGCUAGCGUUAUCCGGAAUUACUGGGCGUAAAGGGUGCGUAGGUGGUUUCUUAAGUCAGAGGUGAAAGGCUACGGCUCAACCGUAGUAAGCCUUUGAAACUGGGGAACUUGAGUGCAGGAGAGGAGAGUGGAAUUCCUAGUGUAGCGGUGAAAUGCGUAGAUAUUAGGAGGAACACCAGUUGCGAAGGCGGCUCUCUGGACUGUAACUGACACUGAGGCACGAAAGCGUGGGGAGCAAACAGGAUUAGAUACCCUGGUAGUCCACGCCGUAAACGAUGAGUACUAGCUGUCGGAGGUUACCCCCUUCGGUGGCGCAGCUAACGCAUUAAGUACUCCGCCUGGGAAGUACGCUCGCAAGAGUGAAACUCAAAGGAAUUGACGGGGACCCGCACAAGUAGCGGAGCAUGUGGUUUAAUUCGAAGCAACGCGAAGAACCUUACCUAAGCUUGACAUCCUUUUGACCGAUGCCUAAUCGCAUCUUUCCCUUCGGGGACAGAAGUGACAGGUGGUGCAUGGUUGUCGUCAGCUCGUGUCGUGAGAUGUUGGGUUAAGUCCCGCAACGAGCGCAACCCUUGCCUUUAGUUGCCAGCAUUAAGUUGGGCACUCUAGAGGGACUGCCAGGGAUAACCUGGAGGAAGGUGGGGAUGACGUCAAAUCAUCAUGCCCCUUAUGCUUAGGGCUACACACGUGCUACAAUGGGUGGUACAGAGGGCAGCCAAGUCGUGAGGCGGAGCUAAUCCCUUAAAGCCAUUCUCAGUUCGGAUUGUAGGCUGAAACUCGCCUACAUGAAGCUGGAGUUACUAGUAAUCGCAGAUCAGAAUGCUGCGGUGAAUGCGUUCCCGGGUCUUGUACACACCGCCCGUCACACCACGGAAGUUGGGGGCGCCCGAAGCCACUUAGCUAACCCUUUUGGGAAGCGAGUGUCGAAGGUGAAAUCAAUAACUGGGGUGAAGUCGUAACAAGGUAGCCGUAUCGGAAGGUGCGGCUGGAUCACCUCCUUUCUAAGGAGAAUUACCUACUGUUUAAUUUUGAGGGUUCAUUCCUCAAUGUUAGUACCUUGAAAACUGCAUAACAUUUAGUGAUAUGACAUCAUUUUAAACAUAGAUAGACAAGAAAAGUCUUAAAAAUAACACUUUUAAGCACUGGAAUAAACUGAGUGAAUACGAAGUUUGUUCAGUAGCGAUAACUUUUUAAUAACUGGUCAAGUUAUUAAGGGUGCAGGGCGGAUGCCUUGGCACUAGGAGCCGAUGAAGGACGUGAUAAGCUGCGAUAAGCUUCGGGGAGUUGCACGUAAACUUUGAUCCGAAGAUUUCCGAAUGAGGAAACUCACUUAGAGUAAUGUCUAAGUAUCGUUAAGUGAAUACAUAACUUAGCGAGGGGAACCCGGGGAACUGAAACAUCUAAGUACCCGGAGGAAGAGAAAGAAAUUCGAUUCCGUAAGUAGCGGCGAGCGAAAGCGGAACAGGCCAAACCAAUGAAGUUUACUUCGUUGGGGUUGCGGACAUACAACAUGGAUGCAAUAUCGUAAAUGAAGAGAGUUGGAAAGCUCCGCCAUAGAAGGUAAUAGCCCUGUAGUUGAAACGAGAAAGCUACUAGUAUGAUCCAGAGUACCACGGGACACGUGAAACCCUGUGGGAAGCAGGAGGGACCAUCCUCCAAGCCUAAAUACUACCUAGUGACCGAUAGCGCAU